rnacentral:rRNA from 1 species
CCUACGGGAGGCAGCAGUGAGGAAUAUUGGUCAAUGGACGAGAGUCUGAACCAGCCAAGUAGCGUGAAGGAUGACUGCCCUAUGGGUUGUAAACUUCUUUUAUAAAGGAAUAAAACGAGGCACGUGUGCCUUUUUGCAUGUACUUUAUGAAUAAGGAUCGGCUAACUCCGUGCCAGCAGCCGCGGUAAUACGGCGGAUCCGAGCGUUAUCCGGAUUUAUUGGGUUUAAAGGGAGCGUAGAUGGGUUGUUAAGUCAGUUGUGAAAGUUUGCGGCUCAACCGUAAAAUUGCAAUUGAUACUGGCAGUCGUGAGUACAGUUGAGGUAAGCGGAAUUCGUGGUGUAGCGGUGAAAUGCUUAGAUAUCACGAAGAACCCCGAUUGCGAAGGCAGCUUACUAAACUGUGACUGACAUUGAUGCUCGAAAGUGUGGGUAUCAAACAGGAUUAGAUACCCGUGUAGUC